UACAGAGGUCUCAAGCGUUGUUCGGAUUCAUUGGGCGUAAAGGGCGCGUAGGCGGUCAGCACAAGUCAGUUGUGAAAUCUCCGGGCUUAACUCGGAAAGGUCAACUGAUACUGUGCGACUAGAGUGCAGAAGGGGCAACUGGAAUUCUCGGUGUAGCGGUGAAAUGCGUAGAUAUCGAGAGGAACACCUGCGGCGAAGGCGGGUUGCUGGGCUGACACUGACGCUGAUGCGCGAAAGCUAGGGGAGCAAACGGG
rnacentral:rRNA from 1 species